CCGUGCUAAACGGGGAGUUGGCGGUGCCCUAUACCUGCAAUCCGCCGCAGCAGGGUCUAAUCCCCGCCCCGAGGCAGACGUUUGUGAGGCAGGAACCGAUAAGGAGCGUUGAUCGCCGGGUCCUGUGCAACCGAUCGCCGUGAACCAUGUCAGGUCCUGACGGAAGCAGCAUUAAGCGGAUAGUUCGGUGUGCCGCGGGUCAGCCUGGCGGGAGCCGCCUGUCGGGAUACCGCUCAGGAGCGCUCUGUCGAAGGGUGGGUGCACG
rnacentral:SRP_RNA from 1 species